rnacentral:rRNA from 1 species
UACGUAGGCAGCGAGCGUUGUUCGGAAUUACUGGGCGUAAAGAGUGUGUAGGCGGUGCUCCCAGUCUGUUGUGAAAUCUCCCGGCUUAACUGGGAGGGUGCAGCGGAAACUAGAGUGCUAGAGGGUGGGAGAGGUAAGCGGAAUUCCUGGUGUAGUGGUGAAAUGCGUAGAUAUCAGGAGGAACACCUGUGGUGUAGACAGCUUACUGGACCACUUCUGACGCUGAGACACGAAAGCGUGGGUAGCAAACAGG